ensembl:lncRNA
UGACCCCAUAACGCUAACCCUAACCCUGACCCCAUAACAGUAACCCUAACCCUGACCCCAUAACUCUAACCCUAACCCUGACCCCAUAACUCUAACCCUAACCCUAACCCUAAUCCCUGUAGGAUUUUUCUCAGUGGGUUUUGGGUCUGUAGAAGUUUUCUCAAUGGGUUUCGGGUCCAGGAGGGUUUUCUCAAUGGGUUUUGUGUCCAUCGGAGUUUUCCCAAUGGGAUUUGGGCCCCGUGGGACUUUUCUCAAUGGGGUUUGGGUGUAUGGGAGAUUUCUCAAUGGGUUUUGGGCCCUUAGGAUUUUUCCCAAUAGGAUUUGGGUCUAUGGGAGUUUUCUCAAUGGGUUUUGGGUCCAUAGGAGUUCUCCCAAUGGGUUUUGGGUCUGUGGGAGUUUUCUCAAUGGGGUUUGGGGUCGAUGGGGGUUUUCUCAGUGGGGUUUGGGUGUACGGGAUUUUUCUCAAUGGGUUUUGUAUCCAUCGAAGAUGUCCUAAUGGGGUCUGAGCCCCGUGGGAGUUUUCUCAAUGGGGUUUGGGUGUAUGGAGGUUUUCUCAGUGGGUUUUGGGCCCUGUGGGGGUGGGGGGUUCUUAAUGGGUUUUGUGUCCGUAGGAGUUUUCCCAAUGGGUUUUGGGCUCUGUGGGAGAUUUCUCAGUGGGUUUUGGGUCAGUAGGAUUUUUCCCAAUAGGAUUUGGGUCUAUAGAAGUUUUUCUCAAUGACUUUUGGGUGUAUGGGUAUUUUCUUGAUAGGUUUUGUGUCCGUAGGAGUUUUCCCAAUGGCUUUUGGGGUCUGUAGGAUUUUUCUCAGUGGAUUUUGGCUCUGUAGAAGUUUUCUUUUUCAAUGAGUUUUGGGUCUGUGGGAGUUUUCUCAAUGGGGUUUGGGGUCGAUGGGGGUUUUCUCCACGGAUUUUGUGUCCAUUGGAGUUUUCUCAAUGGGGUGUGGGCCCUGGGGGGGGGGGGGGUUCUCAAUGGGUUUUGGGUCUAUAGGACUUUUUUCAAUGGGUUUUGGGUCCAUGAGAGUUUUCCCAAUGGGUUUUGGGUCCAGAGGAAUUUUCCCGAUGGGGUUUGGGCCCCGCGGGAGUUUUCUCAGCGGCUUUUGUGUCUGUGGAAGGUUUUUUUUUUUUUUUCAACGGGUUUUGGGUCCAUUGCAGUUUUCUCGAUGGGUUUUGGGCCCUACGGGAGUUUUCUCAAUGGGUUUUUGGGUCUAUGAGAGUUUUCUCAAUGGGGCUUUGGGCCCUCCGGGGGUUUCUCAAUGGCUUUCGGCCCGCAGAGGCUCCGGUUGGCGGCGGCUCCGAGCACCACCCGAGCAGCAGCGCGGCUCUCUCGGCCGGAAGGACGGCCCGCCGCUCCGGUUCGGUUCUGCCCCGCGGAGCGGUUCGGCCCGCCGGGUCCCGCCGCCGUCCGUCGCCGCGCCGUUUGUUUGCCCGUUGCCCGGAGCCGCGACCGUCCGCUGCGCUCCGCGCCUCUGCGGUUUCCCGUCCCCCGAAAGCGGUUAUUUUGGGAUUUGAGUUUUUGUCGCUUUUCUUUUCCUGUUGUUAUCGGGGAGAUCCCAACCUCCGCUCGCGCUGACGCGGAGCUGACGGCAGCGCUACGAAUCGGGAAAAGGGGGGGGGUGGGGGGGGGGAAACGGGGGGCGGCCCCACGUAGAGAGCGGCAGCGGCACCGCGUGGCCACCGGGAGCCGCGCAGCGGCGGCUGCGGGCAGCGCUCCGCCGGGUGGGACUGCGGGGGUUUGAGGUCCCUCCCAACGCAACGGCGCUGUGAUGCCGCGGUUCUGGGGACUGUAGGGUCCCUCCGAGCCGCCCGUGCUGCGAUUCUAUGGGUCUGUGGUCUAUAGGGCCUCUCCAAAGCAACCGUGCUGUGCAUCCGUUGCCUGUGAUCCAUAGGAUCCCUCCAACCCACCCGUGCUGUGAUCCCGUGGUUCUGUGAUCUAUAGGGCCCCUUCAACCCAACGAUGUGAUUCUGUGAUCUAUAGGGUCCCUUCCAACCCACCCUAGCUGUGAUCCCAUUGUUCUGUGAUCUAUACGGUCCGUUCCAACCCAAGGAUGUGAUUCUGUCAUCUAUAGGGUCCCUUCCAACACACCCGUGUUGUGAUCCCUCGGUUCAGUGAUCUAUAGGGCCCCUCCAACCCAACAAUGUUAUUCUGUGAUCUAUAGGGUCCCUUUUAACCCAACCACUCCACUCAGUGAUCCCAUGGUUUUAUGAUCCAUAGGGUCCUCCCGUCCCAACCACUCAGUGAUCCCAUGGUUCUAUGACCUAUAGGGUCCCUUUCAACCCAACCACUCAGUGAUCCCAUGGUUUUAUGAUCUAUAGGGUCCUCCCAUCCCAACCACUCAGUGAUCCCAUGGUUCUAUGACCUAUAGGGUCCCUGUCAACCCAACCACUCAGUGAUCCCAUGGUUCUAUGAUCUAUAGGGUCCUCCCAUCCCAACCACUCAGUGAUCCCAUGGUUCUAUGACCUAUAGGGUCCCUUUCAACCCAACCACGCGAUUCUGUGGUCUAUAGGCCCCAUCCCGACCCACAGCUCACAGCAUCAUGAGGCACACACAGAAAGCAGCGGUGCUCAAUGCCUCCUCUGCCCGCAGCGCCCAAACUGCAGAGAGCAAAGGAAGGAACUGAGAGAAGGACGAUCUGCCCCCCAAAGAUGAGGUCUGAAAGCAGCUGUAGGGCCUGAAGAUGCUAUGGGGCCGACGAGAUCCCUCCAUGGGUUCAGGGGGAGCUGCGGGGUGAUGCUGCCACGCUGCCCUCCAUCGUAUUCGGAAGGCGGUGGCAUUGGGAGAUAUUCCCAUGGGAUGGAAAAGGGGACACACAGCUCCCGUUCCCAGGAAGGGGAAAAAUGGGGGGGGGGGGGGGGGAGAACUGCACAGCAGAGGUUUCCCCUCUGUGCCUGCGGGACUGUGGGGCACACAGGGGGGUCAUGGAAAAGAAGGAUGGGGUGGUUGGUGGUAAGCAGCACGGCUUCAGCAGGGCUGUGAGGAGGGUAUGGGGGUGUGGGUCGGUGAAAGAGGGCUGCCCAAAUCCUGCCUUGCUUUGGGAGCAGUGCAGCCAGCAGGGUGGGGGAUGGGGGGGGAUGGGGGGGGGUCCUGCCCCUCUGCUCUCCUGAGCCCCCAUCGGGAACGCUGCAUCCAGGUCUGAGCCCCCAGCAGCAGAAGGACACGGAGCUGUUGGUGCGUCACGGAGGUGAGCAGAGGACGGAGCACCUCCAAAACAGGGACAGGCUGAGAGCUGGGGCUGUGCAGCCCGGGGAAGGGGCAUUAUAGCUGAGAGCUGGGGCUGUGCAGCCUGGGGAAGGGGCAUUAUAGCUGAGAGCUGGGGCUGUGCAGCCUGGGGAAGGGGCAUUACAGCCCAUUAUAGCCCUGCCAGGACCUGGGGGGGGGGGGGGGGGAAGCUAGGAAGGACUUCUUACAAGGGCGGGUAGCGACAGGAUAAGGGGAAAUGGCUUUGAGCUGGGAGAGGGGAGGACUAGAGCGGAUGUUAGGAGGGAAUUCUUCACUGUGAGGGGGGGCAGAGGUUGGGACAGGGCAUGGGGGGGCUGUGGGUGACCCCUCCCCAGGGGGGAUGGGGCUCUGAGCAGCCCGGUGUGCUGCGAGCCGGCCCUGCCAGCAGCGGGGGGUGCAGUGAGGUGAUCUAUAGGGCCUCUCCCAACCCAAACCAUGUUGUGAUUCGGUGAUUCUGUGAUCUAUAGGGCCCCUUCCGACCCAAACUGUGCAGUGAUUUGGUGAUUCUGUGACCUAUAGGGCCCCUUCUGACCCAAACUGUGCAGUGAUUUGGUGAUUCUGUGAUCUAUAGGGCCCCUUCCGACCCAAACCGUGCAGUGAUUUGGUAAUUCUGUGACCUAUAGGGCCCCUUCUGACCCAAACCGUGCAGUGAUUUGGUGAUUCUGUGAUCUAUAGGGCCUCUCCCAACCCAAACCGUGCCAUGAUUUGGUAAUUCUGUGAUCUAUAGGGCCCCUUCUGACCCAAACUGUGCCGUGAUUUGGUGAUUCUGUGAUCUAUAGGGCCCCUUCCGACCCAAACCGUGCCGUGAUUUGGUGAUUCUGUGAUCUAUAGGGCCCCUUCCGACCCAAACCAUGCCGUGAUUCGGUGAUUCUGUGAUCUAUAGGGCCCCUUCCGACCCAAACCGUGCCGUGAUUUGGUGAUUCUGUGAUCUAUAGGGCCCCUUCCGACCCAAACCGUGCCGUGAUUUGGUGAUUCUGUGAUCUAUAGGGCCCCUUCCGACCCAAACCGUGCCGUGAUUCGGUGAUUCUGCAAUCUAUAGGGACCCCUCCAACCCAACCAUGCCGUGACUCUACGAUCCGUAGGGUCCCUUCAACCCAAUUCGUGCCGUGAUCCCACAGUUCUGUGAUCCAUACGGUCCCUCCCAACCCAACCGUGCCACGACCCCAUGGCCGUGUCCCCACAGCCCCAGAGCAGCCCUAGGGAGGGCGGCAUCCCCUUCCCCCCCCCCGGGCCAUAGACGCAGCACGGGGCAGCCCAACGCGCUG